rnacentral:lncRNA from 1 species
GUUUGCCAAGGAAAGGAGUCCUGCAAGGAAUACAUAAAAAGUUUCUUGGCUGCUAUACCUAUUAGGGAAUUGCAGGCUGAUAUCAAGAAGGGUUUAAUGGCAUCAACACCACUACAUCACCGACUACAGAUUGAAUUCCACUAUACUGAGUUCUUGCAGCCACUACCUGAGACUUCCGCAACUCCAAUGACAACAGCCACACCACUGUCGCUCGAAGUUCCAUUAACUGAAUUUGCUGCAUAGAGACUUACUGUAAAUUCUAGGAAAAGUGUGAUUACUCUAACUUGUUUUCUUUCUUUUACCAUGGGUAUCCUAUGAUGUGAAUGUGGUUUAACAAAGAGGAACCCAUGUGAGCUUUUUUCAAUCAGUUUGGCAAAUAGAGUUGUGUUUCUCCUAAGUUGACUUCAAAAGAACAUCAACUUUUCUCAUAUGCUGGAGUUAAAUUUGUGUCUGUUGGCUUCUUUUCUAGUUGCAUCACUUCCCCAUUUGCCAUCUUUCUAGGGAGCAGGUUAACUGGUUUGGCUUAAACGCCUUUUAUCCUUUUAACAAUUGUCGAAAUAUUCUCCUGUUCUAGCAUCUGGCAUUUUCACAGACUGAAAAUCUUACUGUUGUGUAUGUGAUUUCAUGGCUGAUGACUACGAUUCUCUGCCAGAAAAAAGGCUGAUGACCAUGAUCCGAGCCUACGCUUUCAAAGUUGGAAUCUAAUCUUCUGAAGAAAAAAGGAAAAAGGAAAAAAAAUACUCUGACAAAAAUCCAGAUAUUCUUUUCUUUUUCCCUUCCCUGUAUCCUGCGCAAGGUAAAGGGGAACUUUUCGAGGUUGGUUUUGAGCCCUGAGAAAAAGAAUCUUUGAAACGUAUGACCCUACUGUAAAGUUCCUUCUUUUGAUUCCCUCAACUACUUUUAUCUGGCACAUCCUCGUGACCAAGUUGAAUUACUAUGCCAAUUGUUGAGCAAAGGUUUUUCUGGUUUCUAACCCCUAUACUACACGUCGAGGAUAUGUCCUUUUAGCUUUCGAAUUAUACGUUUAGUACGGCUCGAAACAUUCAUUCUCUGGUUGCCUUGCGUUCAGAACUUGUUUGUGUUGAGUUUCAAAUUAAAAGUAAAAAAUCUGAAAUCAUAAUAAAAAAAGAGUGAUUAAUAAUAAAACAGAGAACGUUCUUUAUGUUUACAUUUCAAUGUUCAAGUUAAAAAUUGAUAUAAGAGAAAUAAGGAGAGAAAAUAUAAUAUAAAAAUAAAAUGAUAACAUUUGAAUGCCUCAUUUAUAAACUUAAAGUGAAAAAUUUGUAAGAUAAAAUAGUGAUUAAUCGAGUUGAUAUAAUAUUAUAUAUAUCAAAUCGAUUUAAAAAUUUAAAAUAUCUUUAUUUAUCUAUUAAUAAUUUUUAAUAAAUAAAAUUAUUAAAGUACCUUUUAAAUCCCAAAAUAUCUCUGUUAGAACUAAUCAGACAUAAUAAUAACAUUCAUUUUCUGUUUUGGGUGUUUUAUCCUAAGAAAUUGUCUUUGGCUUUUUAAAAAAUGAAGAUAAUUUCCAAAUUUUGGAAAUUUUUUUAGACUGACUAGUUCUAGGUUUCAGUCAAUCGUUAAAUUUUUUUCUCCAUCAAAUGUUAGAAAAUGAAGAAAUGGUGGAAAAUAUUUUCGCAAAACAAAUGCAACCUAAUUUUUUUUUUUUUAAUUGUUAAGGGAAGUGAAGAGAUUGGAUUUUAAACACGCAUUUUUUCAAUCUUCUAAGAGUAUAUGAAGGGCUGAAACUGUUAGCUCUUGCAUUAUGUUGGAUUCUUUUACAGUCGUGGCAGUUGCAUUGGAAAACAAAUAUUUUCUUUCAAGUUGUUGUCUUCGCAGUUUGUAAUGAUGAUGACAAUGAUGAUGAUGAUUGAUGAGGGAAGGAGAGGUUUCUGGCUUUUUCCAACCUAUGUUUGAGCAAACAUUGGAUUGAGUUUAGACUAAAACGUGUAGCCCUUAAAGCUAAAGCUAAAGUGCUCAAAAGUAUGACAAUCAUUGGCGCAUGCCGCGGGAUUUGCAUGCUUUGACAAAAGCAGAUUAAAACACAACCGUUUUUCCAUCGUUUUAUAACUUUAAAAUGAGAACAAUUCAAACUGCAACAUCCUUCCUUGGCUUGAUGAUAGGAAGUCUUAUAAAAGAUUUGAGAUUAAAUUGUCUUUAUUAAAAAAAAUUAUGCUUUUCAAUUAAAGUGAUAACUAUUUGAAUUAAAUCAAAUUUAAUUUAAUUUAAUUUAAUAUUAUAUAAUAUUAUAAAAUUAUAAAAUUCGAUUAAAAUGCUAGUUGAUUUUUUAUAUCAUCUAAUUCGAAUAAAAUUAAAUUUUAUUAGUUAAUUUUAUUGAUUUUUAAUUUAAUUUUUAAAAUUUUUUUAUAUUAUUUUAAUACAAAAUUUUAAUAUAUUUAAAUGAAUUUUGAUAUAAAAUUAUUAUUUUUUAUUUUAUAAAAAGUUAAAAUAUGUAUAAAAAUUAAUAAAAAAAUAAUUUAUUUCAAAUUAAUUUUUUUAUUUUUUAUCUUUUGAUUUAAAAUUUAAUUUAAAUUUAAUAUAUUUAAUAUCUAAAUUUUAUUCAAUUUAAAUGAAAAAAUCGAUCAAAACCAAGCGGAAUACUAUUCUUUCAGAGAUUGUCAACGUGUUUGUUAUCAGUUUUAAAUCGGCAGCUGUCUUGCCAGGAAGCCUUGGAUGGGUAACAUUCGGUUACAGUUGUUAAAUAUUGGGGAAAUUCCAGGAAUAUUAACAAACUUAGCCUGAGGCCCUAAGCCUGUUAUUGAUAUUCUGGUGGGGAAGUUUUGUCUUGUUUAAACCCCCUUCAGGCCCUAAAUCCCGCUUCCGAUGCUGUCCAAGCAGUUGAGCCCAUCAAAACCAAAGCUUUCGAUGAAACUUUGAUGGGGCCUUUUAAAGCAUCAAACUCUUUUUUUUUUAUAAGAAAAUUGUUGGGUUAGGAUUUUCAAAUUUGAUUUUAGAAUUCAAGACAUUUAUUAAAAAAAAAAGCUUCGCUAUGUCAACUUUUUUCAUUUAUAGGUAGCAUUUGAUAUUAUUUUUAAAAUUAUAAUAAUUUAAUCAUCAAAAUAAUUUUAUUAUUAAAAUAAUCUUAUCAGACUUUGAUAUGAGUUUAUUGAGCUAGGCUUUUGUGAUAUAAGAUUAAGUUAUUUAGUUAAAUAAAGAUACUUAAAUUUCAUACCAUCAUAAUUGUGAACUGUCCAAGAAUUUUAGGGCUUUAAGACCGUUGAGUUGGUAGGGAAUAUAAAAAUACCUGAAAUUCAGGGGUUUUGACUCGAUCCGAUCUCUUUAGGAUCGAUUUUUUUUUUUUAAAAUUAGGUAUCGGGUCGAGUAGGGUAAAAGAAUUUCGAGUUCGAGUCGGGAUCGAAUUUUAGGUAAAUUCUACUCGAUAUAUAUAAAAAAAUUAUUUUUUUAAUUUUAUAUUUAGUUUUAUAUAUCUGUAUAUAUAUUUAAUUUUAUAUUUAUAUUUAAAAUAAUAUUUUAUUAAUUUCAGGUUUGAUCGGGUCGAAUUUGAUUUUAUACAAUAUCAAAUCGGGUUUGGGUAUUAAAAAUAAAAAAUUUAUCGAAUCGAUUACGAAUACGGAUUUUAUAUGUUUAAAGUUGGAUCGGAUUAGAGGCGAGUAAAAACCUGAUCCGAUCCGUUGUCAUCAUUAUGAGCCGGGUCCAUUUCCUUUUUUUAUAUUCAUCUCAUCCAUAAGAAAAAGCCUGUUAAAGUGUAUGCCAUAAAAUCACACGUCUGGGUUCAGCUAGAAAUCAGAAUACUUUACCUCAACUUAUUCCUUUGCUUGCUUUGCUUAGAACAAAGAUUAAAAUUAAAACUAAAAGAGUUAAAUGAUAUACUUCGAUGUCAAGCUUAAAAUCUCUAUGUCAAAAGUGAAGCCAAGGAUCCAAUAGUCCUUUGAUAGUGAAAUCAGAGAGAGCAAAAUAAUAGAUUUUUAUAAAAUAAAUACGGUACAAUGAUAAAGGGAAUUAGGAUAAAUUUCUAAACGAGAGUAUUUACUUAAGAUUGUUCGGAAAAAAAUUAGUUUUCGAUUAAAAUCGAAAUACCCUUGAUUAUCUUCUAGAAAAGACCCAUAAAUUGUUCCAAAUUACUACUAUUACUCAAAGCUGACCAUGCAAAUCAAGCAAGCUGUCUUUGCUCUUUGGGGUAAAGCUGUUGGAGAAAAUGAUUCAUAAGGUCACACCUUUAUCUUCACUAUUUUCACUAUUUGAUUCCUCUCUAUAACUUUAUCUACAUCUUAAGGAAGAGCCAUGUGCCUCCUUUGCCCUACUAAUCAUUCCAGUCUCAUCUAGAUGAUGACAUAACUUCAAAUUUGUCAACCUUCACCUCUACUUAUCAAGAAGUACUUGUGCUAGUUUUUUUUUUUCCAAACCCCCACAUAUCCUUUUCCAUGCUUCUUCAAUUUGGUGCAUUUCACAUUACCAUACCUUCAGAAAUUGGUAUUGUUUUAUCUUUAAUAACAUUUAUCUCUGAAAUUAUUUAGGUUUGUUUGGUUUGGUAAUGACUGACUUUAUUUUUACUUUUGGAAAUAGAAAGAGAAAGGAAUUGUUUGACUCUUUGAGAAAGUGAAAACAUGUGGGUUUUAACCAUAUUGACUGAUAGUUUGGUACCAAAUUUGUUAAAACUUUUAUCCUAAAAUUAAGGAUAAAAGUUUAAUUAAACAAUUCUUUUAUUUUUUCAUAAAAGAGACCGUAAUUUGAUUAAGUCAAAAAUUAUAUAACAAAAUCUUAAAUUUGCUUAAUGUUAUUUUCAAAAGUGAUUGUGUAAACUAGAUUAAAUUUCCAAUUUAACUUCUGCUUGACUUUACAUGCAUUAAAGAAAAAAAAAAACAAAUUAAAAGAUGACAAAGGAAAAAGUAUAAAGUCAUUAAAUUUUGGAAAGUGAGAACAAGAACCAAACAUGUUACCGUGACAAUAGCAUCCCAAAAAAUCGAUUUCCGUGAAAGAAAAAGAAUAUCCGUUGAAAGAUCCCACAAAAACAAAGGGUUGUAGUUUCUCAUCUGCACAAUUUAAUGCAACAAAGUUCUGUUUUAAGAAUGUCCAAGCACUACUAUACAAGUUUCAAAGCCCUCUGCCAUGAAAAAAAAAUAAAAACAAGAAGAAGCUGAUGAAGGAAGGAAAUGAAAGAGAAAAUCUGAUAUUCAAAUAACAAAGACAGCAUAAUUUAGACCGUUGUUAUAUCAGUAGAAGGAAAUUAGAUACACAGUUCAUCAUUUUCGUCAUCCAUAAACACUAAAUUGAGACCUUCCAAUGGGACUUGAAACAGCAGCAAUUUGAUUCUAGGUUAGAAUAUGUUAGACAAUGCAAGGAAAAUACACAUCAAGAAAGGGUACAAGAAGGACAUUCAGCAGCAAACAGGGCAUUUGACCAAUCCAUUCUCAUUACAAUCAGGGCAUUUUUUAAUGCAGAAUUCAUGAUCUCCUUCCUUUUCUGCAUAAACCUUGCGGCUGCCAUUGCAGUUUGAGCAAACCAGAAAGCGCAAAUUGGCACAACCGGUACACAGGCAGUUGGGGUGGCUUGAAGGUAUCUCUUCCAAGAGCUUCUUCAGCUUUCCUUGCUCGUGAAGUCCAACAACUUCACCAGCUCCUCCUAUGUAUCUGCCCUUGAUAAACAGCUUUGGAGGGAUCACUUUGCCACUCAUUAUCCUCCAUAAUUCUUCCCUGAAUUCCAUGUCCAUCGAAACAUCUCUCUCAUUGACUAUUAUCUUGAAACUGUCUAAAAGAAACCUGAUACUGCUGCAAUCUUCAUAUGUUUUUCUUGUUCCUCUCAAGCUUGUUGUAUAGAAAAUGACUGACUCUUCUCCACAUGGUGGAUAUUUCUCUUCAAAAUCUGUUAGAGAAGGAUGUUCUUCAUUGUCCCCCUUCACUUCUUCAGGUAUGCUAUCAUCCUUGACAAUUGUCUCCGAGGAGAUUGGAAGCUGAGAAUUAGACUCUCUAGUUACUGUGUCCUUCAAAUCUAUGCAGGGUGAAUCAUUAUCUUGGUCGCCAACAUCGAGUUAAAAUUCUGUUUCUUCAUCCUUUUGAUCUUUAAAAUCAACUACUGAUUCUGGGAGAUUAAUGUUUUUGCUUUCGCUGUUUUGCAGUCUUGUUCUUUGUAAACUGAUAGGUUAUGGUAAUUCUGAUUGGAGAAGGUGUGUUGGGGAUUAAGCUGAAGGACUAAGCCUUGUUUCAAAGUGCUGAGAGCAGUGAAGGAAGGUGUUCUGCCAGGAGUGAUGAUGGUGAGUAUCCAUUGGACACAGAUUCACUUGAUGACUUUGAAGAAGGAGAAUCAGAUGAGGGAAAGGAUGACAUUGUUGUCAGGAAGUCAUUUAGUUAUGGUACUCUGGCAUAUGCGAAUUAUGCUGGAGGAUCAUUUUACUUCAGCAUGAAGAUCAAUGAGGAAGGUGAGGAUUGGGUGUAUUACAGCAAUCGUAAAUCAGAUGUUGGCUGCUCAAACAUCGAGGAUUCUGCUGCAUCAGUAUCAGAGCCAUCCCUGCUGCAGAGUUCCAAGCGCAGCAUUUUGUCUUGGAGGAAAAGGAAGCCGAGCUUCAGGUCUCCUAAAGCGAAAGGGUAGCCAUUGUUAAAGAAAGCCUAUGGAGAAGAAGGUGGGGAUGACAUUGAUUUUGACCGCCGUCAGCUUAGCUCUGAUGAAUCUCUUGCACUUGGGGUAAGAAUAAUUUCUUAACUUUUUAGUUUAAUUCACAUUUCUCCUCUCUGUCUUCAAGCUUGCUGAAGAAAAGGGAAAAGUACACCCUGGUAUUUAAGAUGAUUUUCUUUUGAUUUUCCAUGCUCUCACAUUAGUAGCCGGAACUGAUUACAUUGACCAAUAUGUGGGAUUAUUAAUGCUGAGUUUUUAUCAAGUUAUCACAUGAUUUUCUUAUGAAUGCAAGCAACUUUAAAGGUGCAUGUGUUUAUAUAUUUGAUUGGGGAUUUUCAUAUCCUACAUUCUAACAUAAUUCAUACCUUUGUCAUCUCAGCUAGUUUGAAUGGUUCCAUUUCUUCAAUGAAUAUUACUUUUACAAAGCCUUAGUUGGCUAUAUUUUUAGAAUUUUGUAGUAUUAUUGAUUCCAAUUGUUUGUUCCUUCACAGUUAUUGCUGGAGUAAAGUAUAUCAACUUCUAAAUAUAAAUACCAUUUAUUUUGACAUUACCAGAGUAAAGUAUAUUAAGUUCCAAAUAUAACUACCAUUUGUUUUGACAGUGGCACAAGACAGAUGAAGAUUCAUCUGCAAACCGUUCAUCAGUUUCUGAAUUUGGGGACGAUAAUUUUGCUAUUGGCAGUUGGGAACAGAAAAAAGUGGUAAGCCGUGAUGGACACUUGAAGCUUCAAGCGCAGGUCUUCUUUGCUUCUAUUGAUCAACGGAGCGAGCGAGCAGCUGGUGAAAGUGCAUGUACAGCCCUUGUAGCUGUUAUUGCUGAUUGGUUUCAGAACAAUCGUGAUCUGAUGCCUAUUAAGUCUCAAUUUGAUAGUUUGAUCAGAGAAGGCUCAAUGGAAUGGAGGAACCUCUGUGAGAAUGAAACCUAUAGGGAGCGGUUCGCUGACAAGCACUUUGAUCUUGAGACGGUUCUCCAAGCUAAAAUACGUCCUCUUUCUGUAGUGCCAAGGAAGUCUUUUAUUGGGUUUUUCCAUCCAGAGGGGAUGAUGAGGGAAGAUUUGACUUUUUGCAUGGUGCAAUGUCAUUUGAUAACAUCUGGGAUGAGAUUAGUCGCACUGGUGCAGAAUGUCCUAACAGUGGUGAACCUCAGGUUUACUUGUUAGUUGGAAUGACCAUUUUUUUAUCCUUAAGGUUGAACCAGAAGCUUACUACAUCAUUGACACAUUAGGAGAGAGGCUUUAUGAGGGAUGCAAUCAAGCUUAUAUCUUGAAAUUUGACAACAAUACAGUAAUUCACAAACUAUCAAAUGUAGCUCAAUCAUCAGAUGAUAAGCCAACUGUUGAUCAGCAGAUAGCAACAGCUCCAGCUGAACCUAAAAUUUCACAGGUUAGACGGGUCAAUGGGAGGGAGGAGGGUUCUGUUGCAGAGGCUGUAGUAACCAAACCUGAGGAAUCAGUCAAGAGUGAGGACAGUGAGGAGGUUGUUUGCCAAGGAAAGGAGUCCUGCAAGGAAUACGUAAAAAGCUUCUUGGCUGCUAUACCUAUUAGGGAAUUGCAGGCUGAUAUCAAGAAGGGUUUAAUGGCAUCAACACCACUACAUCACCGACUACAGAUUGAAUUCCACUAUACUGAGUUCUUGCAGCCACUACCUGAGACUUCCGCAACUCCAAUGACAACAGCCACACCACUGUCGCUCGAAGUUCCAUUAACUGAAUUUGCUGCAUAGAGACUUACUGUAAAUUCUAGGAAAAGUGUGAUUACUCU